rnacentral:rRNA from 1 species
CCUACGGGAGGCAGCAGUGAGGAAUUUUCCGCAAUGGGCGAAAGCCUGACGGAGCAAUACCGCGUGAGGGAUGAAGGAUUUUGGUCUGUAAACCUCUUUUCUCAAGAAAGAAGUUCUGACGGUACUUGAGGAAUAAGCAUCGGCUAACUCCGUGCCAGCAGCCGCGGUAAUACGGGGGAUGCAAGCGUUAUCCGGAAUGAUUGGGCGUAAAGCGCCUGUAGGUUGUUUAUUAAGUCCGUUGUUAAAGCCUAGGGCUUAACCCUAGAAAAGCAAUGGAAACUAGUAGGCUAGAGUAUGGCAGGGGUAGAGGGAAUUUCUAGUGUAGCGGUGAAAUGCGUAGAUAUUAGAAAGAACACCGGUGGCGAAAGCGCUCUACUGGACCAUUACUGACACUCAGAGGCGAAAGCUAGGGUAGCAAAAGGGAUUAGAUACCCCUGUAGUCCUAGCCGUAAACGAUGGAUACUAGAUGUUGUGNAUAUAGUACAGUAUACGUAGACUAACGUACGUUAAGUUAAUACCGUCCGUCGGGUAGGUACGGUACGUCGCGAAGGGUAGGUAAACGUUAAAAGUUAAGUAAGUUAGUACGGACGUGAGACGUGUCCGAACGGACGACGAACCGAAGGGGAAGGUAAGGG